GCAUUUAAUACAUUUAACACAUUCAUAGCGUUCCACAACCACCACAUCAAUGUAGUUCCAAAAUAUUUUGAUCACCCCAAAAGAACCCCCCUGCUUAUUAAGGAUUCACUCCUCAUUUCUCUCCCCCUGGGCCCUGGCAACCACCAAUCUGAUCAGGUGGGUACAGCAGGGCACCAGGAGGUAUAUAACGAAGGACUGGUACAUGCUACAACGUGGAUGAAUCUUAAAAACAUCAUGCAAUUUCACACGCACGACGUCAUUCAAUACGUGACCUUUUGUGUCUGGUUUCUAUAACUUGGCACAAUUUUUCCUUGGAGGUUCAUCCACACUGUAGAAGUACCUGAAUGUUUUUUGUAGCUUGGGUUCCGUUGUCCUGAGACAUCACAUUUUGUUUCUCCAUUUCUCUGUAGACGGACAAAUGGGCUGUUCCCACCUCUUGGCUGUUGUGAUAACGCUGCUGUGGGUUCAUCAACAGCGCAUUCAUAUUCGAGCGCCUGCUCUCAAUCCUCUUGGAUAUAUCCCCAGGAGUAGAACUGUGGGGUCAUUAUUGCGUUUGAAUUAGGACUGUCUUCCUCGACACAGGUUGAUACAAUCACCUCCUGUGGCUCCUAAGGUUCCUGUCGUCAUUUCACGCUUGUCCAGUUCUCCUGCCUGGUCUGCUGGGUGUGCUCCAUGGAUCCAGCUGCCCGUGGACUGAAGGUGCACGCCUUGAGCGGCGCUGAAUUCUGUUUGACCUUGGCCCUCGCACACUGCUCUGGUUUUGUGGUUUGGUCUUUGGGGAGUGAAUAAAGUCAGCAGCUGAAAUGGAAAGAGGAAAUAAGACAGGAAGAUUGCUCCUCACGGUGGAGGGGCGGAGGCUGGGUGAACCUGUCAUUCUUUCCCUGCCAUUGGAAUUGGAACCAGCAGAGUAAGUUAUGGCUGAGAACAGUGACCGACAGCAGCCCAGGGAGCAGGGAGGGAAGGCACUUGAACUUGCUGAGGCAGCAGACGUUUGUUCCGCAGCGCGGUCAAAGUGGACUUGCCAGCUAGCCAAGGAGCCCCGGUGAUUCCUGUCUUCCCUGCUCGCCCCCAGGUUUGGAGUUGUGUGUCCUGCUCCCAAAAGCCGACCACGUCCUUGUCAGAAGCGUCUGGGUUACGCCCCCCAGCCCUGAAGUUGUGGCAGAAGCAGCCAUCUCCUGGAUGGAUGUGGCAAAUGACAGGCUCAGAGGACCCAGGCGAUUGUCCUGGGAGUGAAGGAAGAUGGGAAAUCGAGAAGGAGGCGGGGGACUGCAUUCUCACACCCUGUCACCUGGGGAGGGAACCAAGGUCUCUUGUGGGUCAGCUUCCUAUUUAGCUGUCAGGGUGUAGAAUAGAAGCCUCUCUGUCACUUCUGGUGUCACCCCUUCCUCUUUCACACCCAGACCUCGCAGUCUGAUGUGGCUUUCCUCCAGUCCAGGUAGGUCCCACUCGCUAAAGCCAGGUGGCCCAGGCUCCCAGAGCUGAUGGGGGAUGUGUGUGACCAUGCACAGCGCUCUGGCCAUGUGACUUAGGUCACAGCCAGAAAGGACAUCAAUGCUCCCGGAACAGUCAGGCCCCCCGACUGUCCCAGUAGGUCUCUGUGGAGGAAGGAGCCGUCAACCUGCUCUCUUGCAGCUGGGACCGGUCCCCCCAGAGAAGAAGCCAGAGGAGUCUCCCCGGGGCCCCUGGGGGCAGCAGAGCUCCUAAGCUUCUUGCCGACACCUAGAGAGUCAUCGUGCCAGGUGUGCUUCCUUUGUUUUCUCUCCUCACUUUGUGUUCUUCCCGUGGGCUCCUCCUGCUCAUGGUAGAAGACAGCAUUGUCCCUACUUUGUGAUCAUGGCAACUCUUUCCUCUGAGAGCGCCCCUUCCCUCCUGCCCUGCCUCGGAGUUUAAGUGGGGAUACGGUGACUGGGUUUGUGGGUGUCGCUCAAGCAUCUUGUGGCUGAGUUUGAGCCACUGCCCUCUGAUUUUCCCAUCGUGCACGGUGGUGGCCCCUGCUGGGUGUCCGGCCAGCAGAGCUGGUCGUUGGCACAGCUGGCAGCCCUUGAAACCCCAAGUCCCCCAGGCUCCGGCUGCGAUCCCUCGCACCUUAGAGACAGAGCCACAUCUGGAAACAAAAGCUGCUGCUGU